rnacentral:lncRNA from 1 species
GGAGAACAGUGCCUUCCCAGCAGCCUCUGCCCCGGACCCAGAUACCCAGCGGUGGGAUUGCUAGAUCAGACAGAGCCAAUUGAUGAUCAGCAGGGCCUGAAAACGCCAAAAUCCUGAAACAACUGAUCUUUGAAAACUUCAACAUCCCUGAACGAAACGUCCAAACACAUUUAUCCACCAAUCAAAGACCCUUUAUAGUCUGUGCUCUGUGCAUCUCAGAAGUCUCUCUUUACCACACUGUCUAUAUACUGCAUGAGCCAUUAUAUGAAACUCCAAAGCAUCUUAUACUAUAUAUUCAACCAUGUAUCCCUAGUACCUAGUACAGUCCUGCCAUAUAGUUUGCUACUAAACAUUUGCAGAAUGAACUAAUUAUCUUGUAUCCA